UACAGAGGUCUCAAGCGUUGUUCGGAUUCAUUGGGCGUAAAGGGUGCGUAGGUGGCGCCAUAAGUCAGGUGUGAAAUCUCGGGGCUCAACCCCGAAACUGCACUUGAUACUGUGGUGCUCGAGUACUGGAGAGGAGAUUGGAAUUUACGGUGUAGCAGUGAAAUGCGUAGAUAUCGUAAGGGAAGACCAGUGGCGAAGGCGAAUCUCUGGACAGUUACUGACGCUGAGGCACGAAGGUCAGGGGAGCAAACGGG
rnacentral:rRNA from 1 species